GACGAACGCUGGCGGCGUGCUUAACACAUGCGAGUCGAACGGAAAGGCCCUGCUUUUGUGGGGUGCUCGAGUGGCGAACGGGUGAGUAACACGUGAGUAACCUGCCCUUGACUUUGGGAUAACUUCAGGAAACUGGGGCUAAUACCGGAUAGGAGCUCCUGCUGCAUGGUGGGGGUUGGAAAGUUUCGGCGGUUGGGGAUGGGCUCGCGGCUUAUCAGCUUGUUGGUGGGGCAGUGGCUUACCAAGGCUUUGACGGGUAGCCGGCCUGAGAGGGUGACCGGCCACAUUGGGACUGAGAUACGGCCCAGACUCCUACGGGAGGCAGCAGUGGGGAAUAUUGCACAAUGGGCGGAAGCCUGAUGCAGCAACGCCGCGUGCGGGAUGACGGCCUUCGGGUUGUAAACCGCUUUCGCCUGUGACGAAGCGUGAGUGACGGUAAUGGGUAAAGAAGCACCGGCUAACUACGUG
rnacentral:rRNA from 1 species